rnacentral:rRNA from 1 species
UACGUAGGGUGCAAGCGUUAAUCGGAAUUACUGGGCGUAAAGCGUGCGCAGGCGGUGAUGUAAGUCAGAUGUGAAAUCCCCGGGCUCAACCUGGGAACUGCAUUUGUGACUGCAUCGCUGGAGUGCGGCAGAGGGGGAUGGAAUUUCGCGUGUAGCAGUGAAAUGCGUAGAUAUGCGGAGGAACACCGAUGGCGAAGGCAAUCCCCUGGGCCUGCACUGACGCUCAUGCACGAAAGCGUGGGGAGCAAACAGG